CCUCCCUUCUUCUCUCUUCUCCCUCCUUCCCCUUUUCUCUCUUCCUUUCUCCCUCCUCCCUUCUUUCCCUUGGUUCCAUGAUGCUUUGCACCUCAGUACUCAGAUGCCUUGUGAAAAGAGUGCCAGUUUUACUGCCCAUUCUUCUGAUGGUGGCAGAAAGGAGGGGAACAACUUGGCACCAUUUGGAGACAAAGCAUGCCACGGAUCUGAGAGUGUCCUCCUUAGCUUUCACUCCCUUGCUGAUUUUAGGCCACUUUCCUAAUAUCCAGGACCUUUUGUGGGUGAAGGGCACAAAAUGGGCAUCCAGAAAUGUAUGGGCAGGGGCUGACCCGAACAAAACGAGAGAAGCACGGACCUCAAAAAAGGGUAAGUGUGUCCUUGUGCUGGCGGGGAAGGGGAAUGAUAGCUUACAGUAGAUACAGUUGGAAGGAUGAGCUGUGAGAUGGGGAGGGGGGGAGAGAACAAAGCUAGCACAGGUUGGAGAGCUGCCAAGAGACUUGGCAGAGAUGCCCUGCAAGGCUGGGUUAGCGUGGACAUGACCGGGUGUGCUUGGACAUAGAAAUGGCAACAUGCGGAAAGGUGGAGGAAGGGGAAAGGUGGAAUUCUGAAGUGCUCCACUGGACCCUUGUUUUCUCCACUUGAUGUAUUUUGUAGAUGGCCUUUUUAAAAAAAAUAUAUUAAAGUUAGCAAAACAUUAUAUCUUCUUCACUCAGUGUCCUGUUCAUUCUUUUUUAUUGUUGUUUUUGUUUACAUCAGUCGGGCAAGAGGCUGGAUUUGGCUCAUGCGGCAGCUCACACACUGAUCGAAUUGAAUCCUGGCCAAGGAAAUGGUGUGGGCUGCUUGUCUCCUUUGGGAAAGGGGGAGUGAUGUGUGUCUGGGUGCGAGAGAAAGAGAGGAUGAGAGGAAUUGGCCGUGAGCUGCCAAACCGCCUCUCUGUGCUGGCAACAAAAGAGACAAGGGGAUCCGAGCAGGCCUUAUACAUUCGGACCCCUUGGGUGAUAGGGCUUCACCCCAUCAGCUUGUUAUGGGGCUUCGACUUCUUCACAUUGAGCCUCUCAGGACAGGUUAGAAUGAAGAAGUGAAGACAUUAUGCCACCUGCCCAUCCUUUUUGUGUAGUUUGAAGGGGGAAUUAUGGCAGAGACUAGAACUUCCAUUUGUUGUAGCAAGUAUUUCCAACAGUGAAAAAAUGAUAACUUGUUCAUCAUUGUUGGAUAUGCUGGCUAUUAUAGAUAAGAACUGUACUCCAACAUCUGUACUCUGUAGGUCCAUAUAUUUUCCAAUUCCUGCCCACUAGUGAGAUGAAUGCCCACUUGAGAGUCCCCUGGACUGCAAGGAGAUCAAACCUAUCCGUUCUGAAGGAAAUCAACCCUGAGAGCUCACUGGAAGGACAGAUCUUGAAGCUGAGGCUCCAAUCCUUUGGCCAUCUCAUGAGAAGAGAAGACUCCCUGGAAAGGACCCUGAUGUUGGGAAAGAGUGAAGGCAAGAGGAGGAGGGGACGGCAGAGGAUGAGAUGGCUGGAUAGUGUCACUGAAGCUACCAACAUGAAUAUGACCCAAAACCGAGUCGAUAAAUAGGUACCACCUCGGUGGGAAGGUAAACAGCAUUCUGUGUCUAGUCACGCUGGCCAUGUGACCACAGAGGAUUGUCUGCGGACAAACGCUAGCUCUAUGGGUUGGAAAUGGAGAUGAGCACCGCCGCCUAGAGUCGGACAUGACUGGACAAACUGUCAAGGGGAACCUUUAUAAAUGAGUACACAAUUCUUGGAUGAUUAAAAAAAUUGCCAUCCAAAUAAGUCUCAAAGUUUUUCAGCUCUAGGACUCUGAGAUCAGAUUAUAGAGUAGUGAUGGCUUUAUAGAUAUGAAGAAACCAUAUUCGUGUUUCCCCAUUUUUGCAGUGAUUCCUUCUCUCUUUAUAUCCCCCACAUGAAAGGCCUAAUCUGGGGUCUGGGUGUACAAGUGUGUGCGGCUUCUGAUUGUCUUUUCAUGUAGACCCCAUCAUAUUAUGAAACCUUAAGCCACAUCUCUUUUUGACGCACCUAAAAAUAUCACACAGUGCCGAAACUGUCUCCACCAAUAAUUUUAAUAAACUUUGAAAUAUGGCAACUAAAAACA
rnacentral:lncRNA from 1 species